GGCAUGACUAGUGAUUUGACUCUGAUGUUUUUCUUGUACGCAACAUGCCAGAUCCACGUCUGUUACAUGCCAGGAGCCGAGGACUAGUAGCUUCACCAUGCUAUUUCUUUUUGUGCACAAAAUGCCAGGACAACUUCUCUUACUGUUUUUAUCGACAACCAAGCUUGCUUCAUCUGCUGCAUGAUCGCUGAAUGAUUUUGGAGUCACAUAUUAGCCAACACGAACUUGUUCCUGAAGUUUGAUCCAAAGUAUCGAUUCUGAACACUCCAACUGUUGUCAACUUUUGAGAGGUCACAGGCCUCGCACUUAACUCUCUGUUUACCAGCUAUUAUGUGUCAACGGGACCAAACUUAGGCUUAGAUGUUAUUUUGACGAAGCACAUGCUUCGCUUUGCGUAUGAUUCGUUGGACAGUCCAGUGGUUUUUGCUGCGUUUGAUCUGGAUAUCUAUAUGCUGGAACUGGUUA